GCGUUUGUAGCUCAGCUGGAUAGAGCAACCGCCUUCUAAGCGGUGGGUCGGAGGUUCGAGUCCCCCCAAGCGCG
rfam:Clostridium sp. CAG:678 genomic scaffold, scf125